CCUACGGGAGGCAGCAGUGGGGAAUAUUGGGCCAUGGGCGCAACCCUGACCCAGCAACGCCGCGUGAAGGAAGAAGGCUUUCGGGUUGUAAACUUCUUUUCUCAGGGACGAAGCUAGUGACGGUAACUGAGGAAUAAGCCACUGCUACAUACGUAGCAGCAGCCGCGGUACUAAGGGGGCGGCAAGCGUUCUCCGGCAUUACUGGGUGUAAAGGGGGAGUAGGCGGGACUGCAAGGCAGAUGUGAAAACCAGGGGCUCAACCUGAGACCUGCAUUUGAAACUGUAGUGCUUGAGUACUGGAGAGGCAGACGGAAUUCCUAGUGUAGCGGUGAAAUGCGUAGAUAUUAGGAGGAACACCAGUGGCGAAGGCGGUCUGCUGGACAGCAACUGACGCUGAGGCGCGAAAGCGUGGGGAGCAAACAGGAUUAGAUACCCGUGUAGUC
rnacentral:rRNA from 1 species